GACGAACUGUCCAAACGUUGUUCGGAAUCACUGGGCUUAAAGGGCGCGUAGGCGGUCGAUCAAGUCAGGGGUGAAAUCCUGCAGCUUAACUGUAGAAGUGCCUUUGAUACUGGUCGUCUCGAGGGAGGUAGGGGUGUGUGGAACUUCCAGUGGAGCGGUGAAAUGCGUUGAUAUUGGAAGGAACGCCGGAGGCGAAAGCGACGCACUGGACCUCUUCUGACGCUGAGGCGCGAAAGCUAGGGGAGCAAACAGG
rnacentral:rRNA from 1 species